rnacentral:sRNA from 1 species
GUCGAAGGCUGCAGCGGCGGCGCGGAUAAGGAAGCGUCGCCCCUCGCGCAGCCGU